rfam:Capsicum annuum cultivar Zunla-1 chromosome 8, whole genome shotgun sequence
UUUUACAGUUACACAGACCUGUAAUGAUUUGCGAAGAUGAUCGCAACAAAUUGAACAUCUAAGGGACUGAGUUGUU